AUGGUGACUGCACGGCAGCGGGUGGCAUUACAGGAGAGGAACCUGGAGCCCAAGGCAGGCAAGGCUUGUACGAUGGGAAGCACGGCUGCCACCCCUUCUCCAGAGGGAACCUCCAUCUCCGAGGUUCCAGGCUGUCCACCGUGUAAGCAUCCUUGUAAAGACGGUCCAUCCAGAAUAGAGGUGUCAGCGUCUCCGCCUGCAAGAUGUCAGACACCGGAGAGGCCCUUGGAGAACUGUCUCCCGCCCGACAUGACACAGCGCACGCCAAGCGUGGCACCAGGACAGAAGCACCCCGGUCCCCUAGGAGCCCCUGACAAAGAAGAUGCUGGACAUCCCUGUCCUUAACCCUCAGACUGGAGACGGAAAUUCUUCGUGUCCUCGAGUGGCUUCCUACUCUUCUCACAGAACAGUCUUGGCCCCUUGACCUGGUGUGAGGAGCAGCAGCACCUCCACAGUGAGUGAAGUGCCCCCGACUCAGCUUGGCUUCCGCCAUCCACCAUGGAAGGCUUGGGCAGACCGCUGUGGAAACCAACUCCUAAAUAUUUUAAACAGAGACCAUGGCUGACAGGAGUCAAACUUUCUGUAUUAAUGGAGGAUUAAAACCUCAGCUAUUUCCAGUAAUUUAUUAUGCACCCGCUUAUAAACACAUUGCACUGGUCAUGGAAUGUAUACGUGUAGCAGGCCCUCCAGAGAUGGAUGAAGAACACUUAAAGGGCAUCAAGGGCACCCAGGUUCCAGCAUGGAAGCACAGUCGCAGUUGGCAACCUUUGCACGGGAAGUCCCCUGACCGUUGGUGACCUGUGUCCUGUGGGCCACUGUCUGGGAACCACUGCACGUGGCAAAGGAGCAAGCCCUCUGAUCUUACUCAGACCUAUCAUUACACUGUCCCCAGAAGUGACCCAUGUCAGCCUUCAAGGGCUCAUGUUGCGAAAGGCAAUCAUCUGUCUCGUGAGAAAAGCCAUCAAAGUGCCAAAUUAUUGAUCACCACACCCAGUGUGCUGUGUCUGACUGUGGGCACCACACCUCAGGGGCAACAUUAGCCCCAAACGUGACACAUGCAGGGCAGAAGCGUUCAGACCAGAAGGGGACACAAACCAUGCGACGCUGGGACAAAGGAACAGGAUUCACAUGGAUAGAAGGGGUGAGGGGGCACGCUUGCUGUCCGAAUGCUCUGGAGGUCAUGGAGAGAAAGGUUUUCCCAGGGUGGGGGUGGAAACCAAUGGUAAAGGCUGGUUGCCGGGAGCACAGAUUUAUGCUAAAAAACCCGGGGGUGUGGGGGGAGUACUUCCUAAAAGAGUUCGUGAGAAGGGGCUGAGCUCUCUGUCACUGGAGAUGCUCAGUCCUUGGCUGCAUGGCCAUGCUGGAAGAACACUGCAGAAAAACUCCAGCGUCGGAUAACUGAAGGAAGGGACUAAGUUGUUUCCCCCGCAGGACCUUGUGAUGCCAUGCAUGGGGGACUUGAAUCUGAAGUUGGGGUGUGUGUGGGGGGUCUUGUAAUAGGGAAGAAUAAAUCUGACUCCAUAUUGGAUCUAUUUCUUUAGCUCCAACCUUUGUGCCCAGUUGCCUCUGCUUAGUCAUGCUGGCUCUGCACCUUUUGUAAAAGAAUGUUGCCUAUGGCUUGAAAUAUACAGGAUAGCCUGACCUUGACCUGACCGGAACAGAGAAUAACAGAAACCUUGCCUACACGGACAGCUACAAGAAGAAAGGAUCUGACACCAAGAAGUUUGCAACAAUUCACACACCCCCUCACCUUGCCUUUAAAAAGGGCUUUGCUGAAAGCUUCUCGGGAGUUUGGCCUUUUUAAGGCAUGAGCCACCUGUCUCCUUGCCUGGCCCCACGAUUAACCUCUGCUUCAAACUCUAAUGUUUCAGUAUUGUUCGGUCUCACUCUGUUAUUAGGCACAGACUUGCGUUCGGUAACAAUUAUGGUGAGCCAGCCAGGAAUCUGUGCCUGUGGGGGUGGACCCCGGCCAGGGACAGCCCCUUCCCAAGUUCCCAGCAGCUGCUGGAGCUCAUUUUGCACCUGGGAACUGUGAGGGACUCUCCCUGAGAGGCGUCAGCUGCCCCAGUGCACAAGGCCAUUUGGAGCAGAGAAACGUCCAGAGCUAUGGUCCACAUUUGGUGUCAC
rnacentral:lncRNA from 1 species